UGCGUUCCCACCGACCAAAGGGACGCCCAGUCCUGCUCAGCCCCGGGCGCAGCGGGGCGGGUGGAGGGUCGGUGUCCGGGACGCUUGAGACGGUCCCGGUGUCGCGUGCAGGCUGCCCCUGCAGACACACUGCAGCUGGGAAAGUCCUGAUGUCUGCGUAGCUUCCGUGGUGGAGCCGAACUGUGUGCACACAUGCGUCUGGUUGCAGGUCUCAAGAGAAACGUGGUCAACAGGAAAGAACCAUCAAUCACAGGCCCCAACAAGGAAAACCGCACUACAUCGUCUAGAAAAAAUCAGCCUCUGCUGCAGUUCAGCCAGUGAGAAAUCAUCACCACCCUGAACUCCUGCUUUUCUCCAGAAGACUUUGGUUCAAAACACCCCCUCCCAAUCCCCCCACUUCUCCACAAAAUAACGUUCUGUCCUUUGUUUGGAGGACUUACUAUGGUUUUGCCAAGGUUUGCAUGUCCUAAAUUCCAAUAAUCUGUUAUUCCCAAAUAAACCCGUUUCUGCUGGUGAAAAUAA